rnacentral:rRNA from 1 species
AACGAACGCUGGCGGCAGGCCUAACACAUGCAAGUCGAGCGAGGACUUCGGUUCUAGCGGCGGACGGGUGAGUAACGCGUGGGAAUGUGCCCUUCCCUACGGAAUAGCCCUGGGAAACUGGGAGUAAUACCGUAUACGCCCUAUUGGGGAAAGAUUUAUCGGAGAAGGAUCAGCCCGCGUUGGAUUAGGUAGUUGGUGGGGUAAUGGCCUACCAAGCCGACGAUCCAUAGCUGGUUUGAGAGGAUGAUCAGCCACACUGGGACUGAGACACGGCCCAGACUCCUACGGGAGGCAGCAGUGGGGAAUCUUAGACAAUGGGGGCAACCCUGAUCUAGCCAUGCCGCGUGAGUGAUGAAGGCCUUAGGGUUGUAAAGCUCUUUCAGCUGGGAAGAUAAUGACGGUACCAGCAGAAGAAGCCCCGGCUAACUCCGUG